GCCAAUCAAUUACGUCGUUUAACUGAGACAACUAGAAGAUAAAGCUGUUCUAUCAAAGCUGCUUGGGACAUCCAUUUGACUGACUGCUGGAUGUCUCAAUUUCUAGUCAAACACUUUCAGAAAGACGUAUUUGAAAUUCUGAAAUGAUUGUGCCUUUUCCGCUAUUAUGUUAAUUCGCUAGCAGACGCCUCGCAAACUAACAGUCAACUCAUCUGGCGUUCCACUAAUGGCUUACGUGCAUGAUUGCAAACAAAUUCAAUUAGUGCACUAUUAUCGAUACCUCAUAUCGCAUUCGUUUGAAGAUAUCAGUUUAAAAUUGUACUUUAUUAUGCCAGAGGGAUAUGUAAUUCCUAAAGUUAUUUCGGGAACUGAACUGCGGCAAAAAACGGUUGUGCAUUAACACAUGAGUAGCCGGUCUCAAGAAUUGGUCUCCUUAGAACUUCCUAUAAGAAAUGCAACUAUAGAUAUUCAGCUGAAUAGUCUACACUUCAAAGCUAUCAUGUAUACAAAAGUUGUUUUUUAAUUAACUUGAAAGUGAAAGCCUGCUCAGCCACUUCAUGUGAUUGACGAUAUGUGUACAGACGGUCACUGAUAUAAGAAUGGGCUGUUGAAACUAUUAUUGUCGCCUCUUUUAACGGGAGUGCAAGUUUAGAGCUCAAGUUGGUAGUGUUUUAUACAUCAUUUUUUGACGUGCUAUACAAGUUACCGAUUGGACUAUGUAUCAGUAAUUUUUAGUGUUAGUUUUGUUGCAGUCACAUUUGGUCAGCAAUGCGCUGUGCUUUGUAUUGUGAUAGGAAAUAUCUUUAUUUGUACUACAGGCGGCAAAACACUGCGGCAGGCAUUUCCAUAUCCUUGGUCAUUUGCCGGCCUGGCGAUUACUUUCAGGUACCUGGCUUUUAAACAAUGCUUCAUUCCUUGUCUAAGAUUUACGUUUAAGAGGAUAAAAGUAGAGAUUUGCACUUACACAAGAGAAUUUAGUUUCUCUAGAAUACUCGGAUUGAUUAUGUGCCUAGUAGAUUGGACCUACUAUAACAGGUGCUGAUAACAGACCAGUCUGUAUACGAUGUGUUUCGGUUGAAAGACGUAUAGUCGAAAAUUAAUUACUUAAUUAUGAUUUCGGUUAGGUACAGUUAUUGUUACUUUUUGCUGUUUCAUAAAUCUCCAGCGAACACGUAGCGUAUAGCGAUGCCCCUGCACGUUGAAGGCCUCGAUUGCUCACAAGCAAACUUAUAAAGAGAAGCAUUAAGAAGAAAUAUUAAUGUAAAUGUUCAAGUGGUACUGUAUUGAUGUGAAAAUGCUGGUGUAAACGAGGAUGUUGUGGUUAAAGAUAAUACGGCUCCGUUUUUUAUUUCUUUUACACAAAAAUACUUUUUAUACAGCAAAAUUCUUGUAAGGAUUAAAUCUUCUGGGUGACUAAAUGCGUAAAAUAACUUCUAAGGGGUCUUCGAUGCAUCGUUAAGCAACGCCGAGAACGAGGUAUCGAGCAAGCAAACUCCGCGCGAUGAGCGGCCCACAGAAAGGUUGGCCUCCUUCAAGGCGUGUCGUUGUGUUUGGUCCUGAAAAAUAAGAAGAAACACCAACGGAAAGGAACAGGAAUUACACUAAAGCAGGUGAUUCAAUCCAUUAUCGUUUACAUCAAUUUUAUACUACGGAGUAGGAGGAAAAGGCAACUAUACUUUGCAUACAUGCGAUCUACUCUUAUGUUUUCGACGAGAAAAAAUUGGCAUUCUUAAAAGACGCCUUUGGAGGUAUCGCUUGCAAGGUUCCUCAAUUUAUAGCUGACGGCAUCUAAGCUUUUAUAUUGUAUUCAAAUCGUAUGGCGAAUCGAUACAUCUGUCUAAAUCACCAGCCUUAGAAAGCAUAUAAGCUCAAGAGGAACAUCUUUCUAAACUCGCAGAAGUGGUGCCACUCGUGUAUGCGAUCUAUGUCAAGGCCUCAUCAUGAUCCGACCGACAUCUCGAUGUGGAAUUUCACGUGUAGUUGAUGAAUGUUAUUAUCUUGGUAAUGCGAUGUAAUUGUCAUUCAUGGUAAAUAAAUAAUGGGCAGACCGUGAAAACAUAAAUUCUUU